CUAACCCUAAACACAGCAGCGUCGCACGUUCUUCUUCUUCUUCUACUUCUUCCUCUUCAUCUGAUUUUUGAUCUGUUAAUUUCUUGAAGUGCCCGAUUGCUAGAAAAACGUAGAAAUUGGUAGUGAAGAUGUCUGACAGGUUAACGCGUAUAGCCAUUGUGAGCUCGGACAGAUGCAAGCCGAAGAAGUGUCGUCAAGAAUGCAAGAAGAGCUGCCCUGUUGUUAAAACUGGAAAAUUAUGUAUCGAGGUUACACCUGCAGCUAAGUUAGCUUUCAUCUCUGAGGAGCUGUGCAUUGGAUGUGGUAUCUGUGUUAAGAAAUGUCCAUUCGAAGCAAUUCAGAUCAUCAAUCUGCCGAAAGAUCUGGAUAAAGAUACAACACACCGUUAUGGUCCUAACACCUUUAAAUUGCACAGGCUGCCAGUACCAAGGCCUGGGCAAGUUCUUGGCUUGGUCGGAACAAAUGGCAUUGGAAAGUCCACUGCUCUGAAAGUUCUGGCUGGAAAGCUGAAACCAAAUUUGGGUCGUUUCAAUAAUCCUCCAGAUUGGCAGGAAAUCUUGACAUACUUCCGAGGAUCUGAAUUGCAGAAUUAUUUUACUCGUAUCCUGGAAGAUAACUUGAAGGCCAUCAUAAAGCCUCAGUAUGUUGAUCACAUUCCAAAAGCAGUCCAAGGCAAUGUAGGGCAGGUGCUUGAACAAAAAGAUGAGAGAGAUGUUAAAGCUGAACUUUGUAAAGAUCUUGAUCUAAACCAAGUAAUAGACCGUAAUGUCGGGGACUUGUCUGGUGGAGAGCUCCAGCGGUUUGCUAUUGCUGUUGUUGCCAUACAAAAUGCUGAGAUAUAUAUGUUUGAUGAACCAUCAAGUUAUCUUGAUGUGAAACAGAGGCUUAAAGCUGCCCAAGUCGUCAGAUCUUUGCUCAGGCCUAACAGCUAUGUGAUUGUCGUGGAGCAUGAUCUUAGUGUCCUAGACUAUUUGUCCGACUUCAUUUGUUGCUUAUAUGGGAAACCAGGUGCAUAUGGAGUUGUUACUUUGCCUUUCUCUGUCAGAGAAGGAAUCAAUAUUUUCCUGGCCGGAUUUGUUCCUACAGAAAAUCUACGCUUCCGGGAUGAGUCUUUAACCUUCAAGGUUGCUGAGACCCCACAAGAGAGUGCUGAGGAAAUUGAAACAUAUGCACGAUACAGAUAUCCAACUAUGACUAAAACUCAAGGCAACUUUAGGCUUCAUGUGAUUGAGGGUGAAUUUACAGAUUCUCAAAUUGUUGUUAUGCUGGGUGAGAAUGGGACAGGGAAGACAACCUUUAUUCGAAUGCUGGCUGGUUUAUUGAAACCUGAUACAACGGGGGAGUCUGAUGUUGAGAUACCGGAGUUUAAUGUUUCUUACAAGCCCCAGAAAAUCAGUCCUAAGUUUCCGUCUACUGUUAGACACUUGCUACAUCAGAAAAUUCGUGAUUCAUAUAUGCAUCCACAAUUUAUGUCAGAUGUGAUGAAGCCACUUCUUAUAGAACAACUAAUGGAUCAGGAAGUUGUGAAUCUUUCUGGUGGAGAGUUGCAAAGGGUUGCUUUAUGUCUCUGCCUUGGAAAGCCUGCAGACAUUUAUCUAAUUGAUGAACCAAGUGCAUAUUUGGACUCUGAGCAGCGUAUUGUUGCCUCUAAAGUUAUAAAGAGGUUUAUCCUUCAUGCAAAGAAAACUGCGUUCGUGGUAGAGCAUGAUUUUAUAAUGGCAACUUACCUUGCUGAUAGAGUAAUCGUGUAUGAGGGAAGGCCAUCUGUGGAUUGUAUUGCAAAUUGUCCUCAGUCGCUGUUGACUGGAAUGAAUCUCUUCUUAUCUCAUCUAGAUAUCACAUUUAGGCGGGACCCAACAAAUUUCCGACCAAGAAUCAACAAGUUGGAAUCAACCAAGGACAGAGAACAGAAAUCUGCUGGGUCGUAUUAUUACCUGGAUGAUUGAUGCAACUCGUAGCAGCUUUUACGUAAUUCUCUUUGCCAGUCUUUCUUUCAGCUAUGCAGAAAUUUUAAAGCAUCAUUCUGAGUAAGUUUGGCACUUGAUAAGUUAUGCUCGAAUGUUGACGGAUGAGACUUCUUGCCUCCUAGCUUGCGAAGCAGUAACAUUGGACUUUUAUGUUAAUGAGCUGCAGGCCAUUUAUAAUGUUUGCUUCACUAUGUUUUUCUUGAUAAUUACAUCUGGUGGGUUGAUGUUUGAAAUGUAUUUGAGCUUGUAUCUGACCGGUGUUUGAAAUUAGAGGAAGAAAAAAGCGGUAAACUGAUAUAUAGCGGUGCAGUUUUGUCCUUGCAAGAAGUAAAUAUUUGAUGAUUUUAUUACAAUAGAUGUUUUAUCUGAA